rnacentral:lncRNA from 10 species
AUUUUUCUCUACCCCUUUACUUUGAACCUCUGGGUGUCAUUGCAUGUGAAAUGAGUCUCUUGAAAACAGUAUACCAGUGGGUCUUGCUUCUUUUUCCAAGUUGCCACUCUGUGCCUUUUAAUUGGGGCAUUCGUCCAUUUUCAUUCAAGUGAACUUCUGUAUAUACCUGAAAGCCCAAUUCAGUUAUCUGCUUUAUGAGCAGGUGGAUACUCUCCACCCAAUGCCUGCUCUGGGAUAUAUUAUACUAACAGUAUGGUUACUGUUAUCUAUUUACAUGCCAGUCAUGGCUACCAGUCUGUUCAUUUAUUUAAAGACAUGAAAAAUAAAAAUGGAAAUGCAUUAUUCAUUUUGGUAUCAUCAGUACCUAGCCUUGCAAUUUAAUACAUAGAAGGUGCUUAUAUAAAUAUUUGAUAAAUCAAUCAGUGUAGCUCAUACAACAUUUUGGAUUUUGAUAGACCUAUAAAAGAUACUUGCCUUUAUUUACAGUUAUUACACAUGAGAGCAAACCAUAUUCCAUUUGAGCCUGACUAAUAAGUAACCUGACUUGAUCCUUCUGUUUUAUUGUCAGGUAUCUGAGUGGGCAAUUAAGAUUUGGAAACAAUCUUCAUGUAUAUUAAUGAAGGAAUUCCGGCAUCAAAAUGCAAAGGAGAAAAAUAGCAAUAAAAACAAGUAAACUAAGGAUUGAUAAUGCAUACUUUGUAUUAUUAAAGUGAUUUUGAUGAUUUUGAACUUCUGUUAAAAUAUAAUUCCAUGUUUUCUGACAAAAUAUUUAAUCAUAAUAACAGCUGGCUUUGUUAAGUGUAAGUACUCUUUGUGUGGUAACUUGGCAUUAGUAUAUUCAUUAAGUAGAGAAAAUUUAAAAUAUAUUUGAAUAAAUCCAUUAAGAUAAACAACAUAUGCCAUCCAUGGGCUUGUCUUGUAGAGUGAAAAGACUCACUUAUUUUUCAAGGUUAGGUAAAAAUGCCAUGUGCAGAAAAGGGUUGUGCUGUUUAAAUUAUUCUUCUUGAGGUAUAGUUUUAAAGUAAAAGUUUGAGUAUGAAAUUAAUAUAUCUUUUAUGACAUUUUCAGUGUUUAUGACUUAUGUUUUUCAAUAUUUGUACCAGAAUCUUUAGCAUGCAUUGUACAGGAGAAUAAGUUAACCAUCACACAUCCUGGAGGAUGUUUCUGCUUUGACAGUAACAUUUCCCAAAAUAAUGAGAAUCAUAUACUUACUAUGCUUAUACCAGGUACAAUUUUACUGUUUGAAAGCAUAUGUGUCAGAGUAAAGUGAGGAAAAAGGCUUUUAAACUAUUUUUCUUUCCUUCUAUAGUACCUAUUAUUUUCUUCCUGUUUAGUAUGAAAGGGUCAUUAAAUGUUAAUGCUUUUUAAUGUAAUGCUAUAUCUCCAGAGUACUAAAGAGAUUUAAACUUUGGGGCUAUAAACAAAUAGGUAUCUUUGGAAUGCAAUCAUUAUCAUUUUGAUAUUGCCUGAUGCAUAUGUAUGUGUGCAUGUCCUUUUAUAUAAUAACUGAAAUCAUCUGCGCGGCAGCAGAAUUCACUGCUGAAUUUAAAAGGCAUUUGAUAGUGAAUAUUCAAAACUGUGUGAACACACCAAUAUGUAAUAAGUUGACAAAUCUGUUUCAAUAUAAAACUGCAUAUUCUGGGGUCCUUUCAGGCUUGCCUUUUUUAUUGCAUAUUUACUAGAGCUGCUCUGUUUCUGGAAAAAGGUAAACACAGUUCCCCCAAGAGAAGAUUGGAUCAUCCACUUCCCACUUUAACUUUGUUUUCUAACCUUAAUAGCAUCUGCUCCUGACAGCAGCUACUUGGCAGUUUCCUGGGACUCAGAAGUGUUCUUGAUAAAGAAGAAAGAUGACUUGAUUGCAUUAAGGCCAGUGAGUUCCACUCUCAUCCUGGAAACAAAAGAAUAUACUUCUAGUAGAGCAGAUCUGGCAAAUGAUAGAUGGAGAAGGCAAAACAACACUACUCAUGCCUUAAGCCUGCUGCUUUCUUAAAUUGAACACACAAGAAAAAAAAGAUGAAAACAAGUAUUUUGUUUUUACAUAAUUUUAUUUCAAAAUUUUAAGUUUCAGAAAAGAGAGUUGCAUGAUGUAUUGUUAUAAUAAGAAAUGCUACUUGAAAGGACUUUUGAAUAAAUUGAGAAAAACAAGAAAGUGAUACCAAGGAGCACUGAGACAGAGAUGGCUUAAUCAGCAGAUAGCAGUUAUCUUGCUGAGAAAAUAACACCCAAUUCUCUUUAUUUUUCUCCUCUUCCUCCUUCUGCUUUUUCUCUUCUACCUUCUCCUUUUCCCGCUCUUCCUCUUCAUUCUUUUCUUUUUGUACUCAGGAAACUCACCCAUUUUUGGAUUCAUUUGCCCUUGGAUCUAAUUCUAAUGCUCAUGUUGGUUAAAAUGCAGUACUAUAUCUUAUCACUUGGAGCUGUUAAGCUUUCAACUCCUUCUAAUUAAAAUAUGCUGCUAAUUUUUUAAAAAAUUACAAUUGAUUAUAUGUUGAAAAAAUAAAUGGCUUCUUCCGGUAGAAAAUACAAGAUAUAGGUGGCUAUUUUAUCUUUUGACUGAAUGAGCUAUGUGGGAGACCAGAAUAUAUCACCCCCAACUACAAAGAAUUGUUGCACUGAGGGCAAUUAAGAAACAGCAGAUGCAGGAAAGCUCUCUGCCCUUCCUUUCUUUGUCUUAAAAGCAGGACAUAACUGUACAAAGACCAAGGUAGCCUGCUUCUGCUUACACCAGGGAGAACAAAGGUUAACCACUGAAGACAACUUUAGACCAUUAUUGCCUUUAAUAUGGCACAAGGGAAACCAAUAUGGCAAGCUUUACUAACUAGCCUUUCUCUACUAGUUAUUUGCCUUCCACAAGUUGCUGCCCCUGUAGACUCAAAGUCCUUUUCUUUUGUCUUGUCACUUUUUAAAAAAUUGACUCUUCUUUGUUGAAGUAGCUAUAUAAACUGGAAUUCAAAGCCACUUCUUUGAUAACUACUCAUUCUGUGGAUGUUUCCUGUGUGUAUG